UCCUCCUCCGUUCCUCCUCCUGGGCUGAAUGCGCACGCGCGGCGAGAGCUGCGCGCGCCUUCAGCCCGUCGCAUAGGAAAGCAUUUACAAUGCUUUCAUAUGGACGCUUGCGUGCUCUCACUGUGAUUUUCACAGUGAGAAGCACGCAAGCGCCUCUAGUGGCUGUCAAUGAGACAGCCACUAGAGGAUUAGGGGGAAGGCUUAAC